UACGGAGGGAGCUAGCGUUGUUCGGAAUUACUGGGCGUAAAGCGCACGUAGGCGGCUUUCUAAGUCAGAGGUGAAAUCCCGGGGCUCAACUCCGGAACUGCCUUUGAAACUGGAGAGCUAGAAUCUUGGAGAGGCGAGUGGAAUUCCGAGUGUAGAGGUGAAAUUCGUAGAUAUUCGGAAGAACACCAGUGGCGAAGGCGACUCGCUGGACAAGUAUUGACGCUGAGGUGCGAAAGCGUGGGGAGCAAACAGG
rnacentral:rRNA from 1 species